GGGGUGCUCGAGUGGCGAACGGGUGAGUAACACGUGAGUAACCUGCCCUUGACUUUGGGAUAACUUCAGGAAACUGGGGCUAAUACCGGAUAGGAGCUCCUGCUGCAUGGUGGGGGUUGGAAAGUUUCGGCGGUUGGGGAUGGACUCGCGACUUAUCAGCUUGUUGGUGGGGUAGUGGCUUACCAAGGCUUUGACGGGUAGCCGGCCUGAGAGGGUGACCGGCCACAUUGGGACUGAGAUACGGCCCAG
rnacentral:rRNA from 1 species